UAUGCAAAUGUCUGUUUACCCAGGUGAGGCGGUGGUGAGGUGCACCUGGGGCCAUUCCCAGGCUGCAUCUCACCUUUAUUCCAGUGCUCCUGUUUCCCUAGGCUGCCCAGAAGAUGGCAUAAAAAAGAAAGGUCUUUUGGUACACCACGGCUGGUCUGCAAAAAUCUCACUGAGCCACAGUGCAACCAAAAAACGAGGGAUAUUAUGUUUGCAUUAGUAUGCGCCCCCAUUAGGGGCUUUUGAUGAUAAUAAUGGCACCGAGAGUUUCACAUCUAGAAAGCUCCCAGAAGAUCCUCAGUAGUGCCGAGUAGAUCUAUAAGUAUAAUAAGUAUUUUAUUACUUAUUGAUGACAGACC